rnacentral:rRNA from 1 species
AACGAACGCUGGCGGCAGGCCUAACACAUGCAAGUCGAGCGCCCUUUCGGGGGAGCGGCGGACGGGUGAGUAACGCGUGGGAAUAUGCCCUUCUCUACGGAAUAGCCUCGGGAAACUGAGAGUAAUACCGUAUACGCCCUAUGGGGGAAAGAUUUAUCGGGGAAGGAUUAGCGCGCGUUGGAUUAGGUAGUUGGUGGGGUCAUGGCCUACCAAGCCGACGAUCCAUAGCUGGUUUGAGAGGAUGAUCAGCCACACUGGGACUGAGACACGGCCCAGACUCCUACGGGAGGCAGCAGUGGGGAAUCUUAGACAAUGGGGGCAACCCUGAUCUAGCCAUGCCGCGUGAGUGAUGAAGGCCUUAGGGUUGUAAAGCUCUUUCAGCUGGGAAGAUAAUGACGGUACCAGCAGAAGAAGCCCCGGCUAACUCCGUG